CUCUCCAGCAUCUCAGCUCAAAAUCUUUGUAAGCUGAUAAGCAACUUCAGCAAAGUCUCAGGAUACAAAAUCAAGGAGCAAAAAUAACAAGCAAUCCUAUAUACGAAUAACAGACAAACAGAGAGCCAAAUCAUGAGUGAACUCCCAUUCACAAUUGCUAAAAAGAGAAUAAAAUACCUAGGAAUACAGCUAAGAGGGAUG